GGGUCAUUCCAGAAUUGGAGGACAAUUUAGGCAUCAACACUUUUGAAAAAUUGACCCUUUAUUUUAUAAUUUUCUGUUAUGUAUUUAAGAAAAACAGGUAAUAAACCAUCAAUUAAUUUGAUUCGUCCAGCUCAGGCAUCAAAGGUACACUUUUUAUGAAAUGUUUUAUUUGUUGUGUGCUAUGCUUGGCGCAACCCUGUUACGAAUACUCAGGAACCUGCAAAACUAAUAUUUUAAAAUAUUGUUUAUUAAAUCCUUUACCAUUAAGUAGAGAAAGUCAUAUUCACAUUGAAUACUCAUUUAAUUUCAGAUAAGACUUGACUUAUAUUAAUUUAAGCAACUUUUGAAAUCUAUCUUGCCCAACUUUUCAAUAGUCACACGUUUCUUUUUACUAAUUUCAGUAUUUAUUUUCAAAUAUUUGCUCAAAUACAUUAUGCAUAUAAUCAUUCAAACUAUUAAAAGGACAAUAGAUUAAACCCUUGUGAGCUGAGAAAAUUAUUUAAGAUUAAUUUAAUAAAAAUUAUAUUGUAACAGGGUUGAAAUUAGAGUAACAGGGUUGCGCAAAGUAACGGUUGAAUGGAUACAUUACUUUUGAUUGUAGAUCAUGACAUAAAUGUGACAAAUAAAUACUCAGGACCACAGGAAUGUUGUUUAAUAAUAUUUUAUAUAUCGUUUCGAUGAAGGAUCAACAGGAUGAGUAGGAAUGAUCAAAAAAAUAAACAUGUCAACAAGACCACAAACUGGAUCUGAUCAAAUAUUCAAUGGACAAACAUAAAAAAAAUAGUUAUAUUACAGUAUGCCGACAACCUGGCAUUAAAAUGAAUGAGCAUAUCAAAAAUAGUCAUAAACUGAUCAAUAUUUUAAAAAGCUAGUGUUAUAAUGUUGAUUUAAUUUCCGCGGCUGGCCAGAGCAUCCCAUACCUCUCUUGCGAUGGCCAUGUGGCGUGCGGUAACGUUCUCUGGGGGAGGAAUGAGGGUCAGCACAUCCUCCAAGGGAUACCAAUGGAGAUCUUCCCUCAACGGCCAGAAAAAACGGUUUUCCCCCACUUUAUGCAUACAUUUCACCUGGCAGUGGGUCUCAUUCACCUCUUGGAUGAUCCCUGGGUAGAUGGUGUGGUCGUACACCAGGGCACACCAUUUCCCCACAACCUCUGGACUGUGCCACUCCACCUCUUCUGGUUGGCUGUAUAUGGGGUCUUCUGUGUGGUCAUCUGUGGUAUUAAAACUGAAGGACUUUGUUUUUUGGCAAUCACACUCCAGAUUCCCUGUUGCCGAACACAUGCAGCUGACGUCACGGUAGAGAAUUUUCCCAGGUGAAAGAGUAACCACCUGGUGGAGCCUCAUUGUGGAUGGUACAGCUGGCAGUUGUGAUCCUGCUGACAUCAUCACGUGAAAAGAACGUUCUCACCGUUGAUCUCAGCGUGGCAGCAAUCCCCUCGUGCUUCUUCCUCUGGUACCUGCAGACAUUUUCAUUUGCCAGUUUUGUCCACCUCCUCCUUGAAAAUCCAAAAACCUCUUCUGCCAAUCUCUGCAGCCUGUACUUCUUCAGGAUUUUGCUGGUGACUAUUCCUGCAAUGACUUGUCUGUCACUCUCUCUCUUUGAAUGUGCGUACUUGGUACGUACUUCCUCAGCUACUGCUGUAUGGAACAACAGGGUUCUCCUUAGGGAUGUGCCCGAGAUUUCCCGAAGCAACUUGUUGACUUUGGAUCUUGGAGAUGGAUGGUCCUUUUUGGAUCGUUGGAGCCGCUUUCUGUAUUUUUCUGCUCGUUUUUCAACUUUACUUAACUGAUCCUGUAGUUUCUGCAACUCCCUGUUUAAUUUUGCUUUGGCAGCCCUCCUUUUUCUUCUCCCAAGAUCACGUUGCCUAAAAGAAACAUAUAAACACUUUCAUUAUUGAUUUCACAGUAGCAACUUAUUUGAGGGUAGUUACCCAGUAAUUAAUAGAUACAUCUGUAGUAAGUAAUAGCAAUCCAUGGUGCAUGCAGUGGUUCUUGAUAGUCAUAGCAAACAUCAUAGUGAUAGCUACAAUACCGUUUCAUUAUCUAAAAUGGAUAUCUUUUGACUUGUAAUAAUUAAGGAUUAUACCUAUCAAGUAAAAGAGAUGCCUAUUUCACUGUUCAUUGUACAGAUACAGUUCUGAUCUUUGCUUACACUCACUUGCAUUCCUUAAUAACCUAAACUUAUGUCCUGACCUUGAAGUCCCAGGUUGAGAGCUGACUGGAGAUUCUGGCCUGACUCGAAUUUCUGGCCUGGCUGGAGGAUCAGGGCUGACUGGAGGGGUGUUUAAUCCUUCAAGUACCUUUUUCCUGGCAUUACUCCUCUUAUGAGCCUCUUUCCACCUUUUUCGCUGGGCACGCUGCGCUCUCACACUGCGGUCUUUUUGCUUUUUCUUCUUCCCUGUUUCUACAUCUUUCCUCCACUUCUCUUUCUCUUUUUCUAAGUACUGCUGUCUCCUCUGUUCAUCAGCAUCCCGCCUGGCACGGUAGCGCCUCUGCUUUUCAGCAGCGCUCAAUGGUGUGCAAGAACUCUGUAGAAAUCAAUUUUAAAUUUAAAAAAUGUCCUACCUAUUGAAAAUUAUGUGAACAUGAUCAAGUCAAGUUCAUUUUGAGUUAAUAAUCCCAUCCAGGUAGUUGUCCAAGAAAAAAAAUGGCAAUUUAUAUUCUGGAAAAUAUGGUAAUACAUUUAAAACAUGUAGAUCAUGCUAAAUUAUAGAUACACAUUUAAUUUUACUAUAGAUAAUAGAUUGUCCCUUCUGAGUGAACUGAAGGAGAUGCAACCCUGUUACUGUAGUGCAACCCUGUUACUCUAAUUACAGUAACAGGGUUGCAAGUAACAGGGUUGCAAAUCAAUGCUAAUGUUAGCUUUUUCUCAUGAAUAGAUGCUAGCUGUGGAAUGUGAUGUUAGGUCAAGGUCAAGGACAAACUAAGUUAUACAAAUAAAGAAAGAAAACUUGAAAUCAAUUUGUCUUAUUUUGAUAAUAUGAAUAACAGGGUUGCGUUGGUCAGAGUGACACAUUCAAUCAAGGCUGAAAAGAUUGGAAAAAUAUGAAAAAUAGAAGAAAGGACUUACCUUUGGUCUACCCAUGGUGCUAGCAAAUGGUGUAAUGAUGUAAUUUCCUCUGUGUCAUGUGACUCACUGUUUUUUCUCUUCCACUGUCAGGCUAAAUUGGUUUCGGUAACAGGGUUGCACGCAUGUUGUGGGACACAACUUCAGUGCAUAAUUACUAUUAUUUAAAAUAUGUUGAUGAUUAGACAAAUUACUUUAACAAUUACAACAGACAUAUAUCAACAAAAUCCUACCAAAAAAGUAGAUUUAAAACUCAUUUUAACUGUUACAUUUGACAUGCAAGUUGGUCAUCAAGAAGGUGGGACAAGAGAAAAAUGCCAUUUUAGGGGGUGCUCGAGAGCUAUUUGGUAUUUUAAAUAAUAUUUUGGAACCACUUUUUCGACAACUAUAUUUACAUUUUGUCUCAGGACAAGUAUAAUUUACACAACAAGUGCAUGUUUUAGUAUUUUGUUCAUGGAUUAUUUGAAAUUUCAUGGGUGAGACAGAAAAUGUCCUCCAAUUCUGGAAUGACCC
ensembl:lncRNA